rnacentral:rRNA from 1 species
CAUCGCCACGGGAAUACGUAGGGUGCAAGCGUUAAUCGGAAUUACUGGGCGUAAAGCGUGCGCAGGCGGUUCUAUAAGACAGAUGUGAAAUCCCCGGGCUCAACCUGGGAACUGCAUUUGUAACUGUAGAGCUGGAGUGCGGCAGAGGGGGAUGGAAUUCCGCGUGUAGCAGUGAAAUGCGUAGAUAUGCGGAGGAACACCGAUGGCGAAGGCAAUCCCCUGGGCCUGCACUGACGCUCAUGCACGAAAGCGUGGGGAGCAAACAGGAUUAGAUACCCGGGUAGUCCCUGUCUCUUAUACA